CGGGAACACUGGAAGGAGGGACUCCGGACGGUGCGCUGGCCUCUGACUUCAGCAAUUAAGAAGACAGCAGAGCACAAGAAGCCUGGAAUUGGGGGUCUGGCAUCCCAUUUGUAACUGGCACUCGAAAGAAACCAUUUCCUCCAGCCCAGGGACCCGCUGGAUUUGAGAAGAAUCAGCUCUGGCCCUUAGAGCAUGGAGCACAUCUUCCUUUGUUCACUCGAGCUGGAUGAUGAGGGCGAGAUUAGCCCCGAGCUAACAUCUGCUGCCAAUCCUCCUCUUUUUGCUGAGGAAGACCGGC